AGAUUGUUUGGUGUGCAUCAUGUGGAAGAGUUCUGAUAUUGAGGCCAGAAAAAGAAAGUAUCGAGAUUAAUUAGUAGUAAGAGAAUGAGAAGAAAUAGUGGUUGAAGAAGAACCUCAUUCUGUACUGAAGUUUUAGCAUCUCAUCCUGAUUGAACAAGAUCACAUUGGGUCCAUAUUUCAUAUAAUCAGUCAACCUGUUGGGACCCCUCACGGUUCUUCAUUUUCUGGUAUGUGAAACCAAGAUAAUAGAUUUGAUUUGAUCUAACAUUAUAUUUAAUGAUUCUGGGUCAAUGUAUAUUUUCAAAGUCUUGCUUUUGUUUGGGAGUAUGAACCCAUUUCCCCCAGAUAUGACUUGACAGUUGCCUUCCCAGAGCAUGUUGAGGUCUGACCUUGGGUAUAGAUCUUGAGUAAAUGAGAGCUGCUAGGCAAAAUGACAAUCCUUUUAAAGGCAGGAGCUUUACAUGAAGUUAUCACAAUGUAUAUACAUAAGGCAAAGCUACUUUUCUCAAAAUGUGAGAGAUUACUUCUGUUGGCAAGUAAGGCUCAGGGAUGUUAGAUUAAACAUAUCCAACCUUUUGCUGAGUCCAACAAAAUUUCUUCCAAGUGUGAGACAUCCAUUCUUUCCAAACAAUGUUUACUUGCACACUGGAACUUUGUCUACUUGUAAAUUUGCCUCAUAGAUGGGUUUGAUUUUUAGUCAUAUCUACCUUGUGACUCCAAGAAAUAGGGGGUGCUUUUAUGGUCACCAAAGGUACUUUCUGAUCCUCAAUGACUUGAUUUCAAAAAGAAAUCUCAUCCCUCAUUCUUGCAGUUGUACUUAUUACUAUAUCUGUCAAGUUCUUCAACCACUUUGUUGAUCAAAGCCUUGCCUUCAAUAGACGAUUCAUCUCAAGUAGCCACAGAUUUCCUCCAUCCAGGCUCUUCCACCAUGCCAUUUUGCCUUGGAUCUACCCAACCGUGGACUGAAAAUGUGAGCCAAAAUAAACUUCUAAGUUGUGGGUGUCGGGUAUUUUGUC
ensembl:lncRNA